AGGCUGUUAAACAGAAAAGAUAACUCUUUCCGGGGCCCCCGCCGACGUCUCCGGACUCCCUAACGUUGCCGUCAGCCGCCACGUCCCGGUUCAGGAAUUUUAACCCGAUUCCCUUUCGGAGUGCGCGCUUAGAGCGCUGUCAGACGGGCUUCCCCCGUCCCUUAGGAUCGACUAACCCAUGUGCAAGUGCCGUUCACAUGGAACCUUUCCCCUCUUCGGCCUUCAAAGUUCUCAUUUGAAUAUUUGCUACUACCACCAAGAUCUGCACCGACGACCGCUCCGCCCGGGCUCACGCCCCAGGUUUUGCAGCGACCGCCGCGCCCUCCUACUCAUCGGGGCCUGGCCCUUGCCCCGACGGCCGGGUAUAGGUCGCGCGCUUUAGCGCCAUCUAUUUUCGGGGCUAGUUGAUUCGGCAGGUGAGUUGUUAGACACUCCUUAGCGGAUUUUGACUUCCAUGACCACUGUCCUGCUGUCUUAAUCGAUCAGCACCCUUUGUGGGGUCUAGGUUAGCGCGCAUAUUUCUUGAGGUGCGCACAUAUUUCCGUGGGAGAAGCCUACACCGACAAAUCGCAUUGUUGCGAGCGUCUCACACCACCGCACCUUGACUUCAACCAUGAAAACCAGCCCACAACACACUUCCGGAUGAUUGCGCUUGCGCCCCUAAGGACUUCACCAAGCACCACAUCCUUCCGUGUAGGACCUGUCACACUAGAAGCCUCGGAACGUCCAUGGGAUGCCGCAAUUACCAACUUCACACCAUGGGACCAAUCCAGCACCUCAACAGCCAACACAUUUCCGAGGGACAAGCCUAACCGAGGCACAUUGUUGCUAGCGUCAUAGACGAACGCACCUUAACUUCAACCGUGCGAACCAGCCCACGACAAACUUCCGGAUGAUUGGGCUUGUGUCCCUAGGGGCUUCACCAAGUACCACAUCCUUCCAUGCAGGACCUGUCACACUAGAAGCCUCGGGACGUCCGUGGGAUGCCGCAACUACCAACUCCGCACCGUGGGACCAAUCCAGCACCUCAACAACCAACACAUUUCCGAGGGACAAGCCUACCGAGUCACAUCGUUGCUAGCGUCACACACGACCGAACCUCGACUUCAACCGCGCAAAGCAGCCCACGACGACUUCCGGAUGAUUGGACUUGCGCCCCUUCGUGCUGCGGCUAUGCCCCUGAAGGCUUCACCAAGCACCACAUCCUUCCGUGCAGGACCGGUCAAAACCAGAAGCCUCGGAACGCCCGCCACUACCCAACCCGUCACCGAGUCACAAAACCGGAACCUCGACAAGUGAGACGGACGCAUCAAGAAUUUCGAGUGGGACCGCGAGGCAGAAGCCAAGCCCUUGAUGCAUCGCAAACGAGUCCUAGGUGCCGGAUAUGUCCAACUCGAUGCACACAUUUUUCCGAACGACCAGCCUGCACCCGGCCACGUACGACCGGGAUUCGGCAUGGAAGAUGACUAGGUCGAACUACCCACAACGCCAUGGAAAAACGCACAAUGCCUGGGACAGGUUGCUGGGGCGCUGGGGGGGAGCCCCAUGGCAUGCCAUCCUGACCCACCAAGGUGCGUGGACAGGCAGGCAGCUGCCCCCCUAUAGUAGGCUAAUUAGCAAAAACCCACUCGCCACCACCAGACAUCCUUUUCUCUGGGGAGACAUACUCGGUUUUUUGAGGCUAGAGGUCGAAUUUUGCCCUGAUUUUUUGCACACGUGCUUCUAAAAAUGGGAGCAGGUGGUCCAUGAAGUUUCACGAUUUUUCUCCAAGCCGAUAAUAUUUCGUGAUUUUUCUAAGCGGCGAGCAUUAAGUGAUUUUUCUAAGAGGCGAGCAUUAAAUAAUUCCCGAAAAUUAGAAAAUGAGUGUGUACCAUGUUUUUUGAGCUGUUCUUUUGCAGGAAUGCUUGGAAUAUUAUUCCUAAACAUUUCCCAAAGUUACGCCCACGUAACAUCGAGGCAUCUACCUCAAACGAUUUUCCACCAAAGUGCGGCACACGCCGUGGUGCCAUGACGGGCAACAUCGCCUAGGAGUUGAAUUCCGACUUGAGACUUUGCAGGCAACCAUGGCAAAACAAUUCCGGGUUCCCCUCCAAAUAUGGAGGCAUUUCAUGAAGGGGUCGGCGUCUUAUGAUGCAUUCACCGAAAUAGGGAAUGCGACUGAAGCAAGAAUCUCAUGCGAGGCACGGGCCACUUUCACCAACCACUCGGAACAUGUGCCCCCACUUUCACCUACCACUCGGUCAGUGUGUAUGGCACGGGUCUAAUUCACCUACCACUCGAAUAAGGGACUAUGUGUCCAUCGUGGAUUUUCGUUGCACCAAUUCGACUAAUCGCACACACGAGUUGCUAACCCUUGUUAGGUGUACGAACUAGACCCCAAAAAUAUGGAGGCUCCGUAACACUUGAAGCCUCGGCACGUCCGACCGAUGCGCGCAACUACCCAACUCGGCACUGUGUGACGAAGCCGGCACCUCGACAAGAGGGACUCACGCAUCAAGAA
rnacentral:lncRNA from 1 species